GGCCAGUUGACCGACAGGGAGGUGGAAGUCUCAUAAACUUCUGAUGAUGGUUCGAAUCCAUUGCUAGGCCA
rnacentral:tRNA from 1 species